UACAGAGGGGGCAAGCGUUGUUCGGAAUUACUGGGCGUAAAGGGCGCGUAGGCGGCCUGUUAAGUCGGACGUGAAAUCCCCGGGCUCAACCCGGGAACUGCGUCCGAUACUGGCAGGCUUGAAUCCGGGAGAGGGAUGUGGAAUUCCAGGUGUAGCGGUGAAAUGCGUAGAUAUCUGGAGGAACACCCGUGGCGAAGGCGGCUCUCUGGUACGGAACUGACGCUGAGACGCGAAAGCGUGGGGAGCGAACAGG
rnacentral:rRNA from 1 species